rnacentral:rRNA from 1 species
UCGGAGUGGGAUAACAGCCGGAAACGGCUGCUAAUACCGAAUACGAUCUUUUCGUCGCAUGACGGAAAGAAAGAAAGGAUGGCCUCUAUACAAAGCUAUCGCCGAAGGAGGGGUUUGCGUCUGAUUAGCUGGUUGGAGGGGUAACGGCCCAACAAGGCGAUGAUCAGUAGCCGGUCUGAGAGGAUGAACGGCCACAUUGGGACUGAGACACGGCCCAGACUCCUACGGGAGGCAGCAGCC